rnacentral:tRNA from 1 species
GGUGGCGUGUCCGAGCGGCCGAAGGUGCUCGCCUCGAAAGCGAGUGUUGGGUAAUACCAACCGAGGGUUCAAAUCCCUCCGCCACCG